AAUAGAUACCCCGGUAGUCCACCCCGUAGACGUUGGGAACUAGUUGUGGGGUCCUUUCCACGGAUUCCGUGACGCAGCUAACGCAUUAAGUUCCCCGCCUGGGGAGUACGGCCGCAAGGCUAAAACUCAAAGGAAUUGACGGGGACCCGCACAAGCGGCGGAGCAUGCGGAUUAAUUCGAUGCAACGCGAAGAACCUUACCAAGGCUUGACAUACACCAGAACACCCUAGAAAUAGGGGACUCUUUGGACACUGGUGAACAGGUGGUGCAUGGUUGUCGUCAGCUCGUGUCGUGAGAUGUUGGGUUAAGUCCCGCAACGAGCGCAACCCUCGUUCUAUGUUGCCAGCACGUAAUGGUGGGAACUCAUGGGAUACUGCCGGGGUCAACUCGGAGGAAGGUGGGGAUGACGUCAAAUCAUCAUGCCCCUUAUGUCUUGGGCUUCACGCAUGCUACAAUGGCCGGUACAAAGGGCUGCAAUACCGUGAGGUGGAGCGAAUCCCAAAAAGCCGGUCCCAGUUCGGAUUGAGGUCUGCAACUCGA
rnacentral:rRNA from 1 species